CAGUUUUGUCUCGGAGGUUCGCUUUCCGGGCUGAACUUGAGGCAUCGUCUGACAGUCGCGACCAGCGGAGUCUCCGGUGUGUUGGACACCGAGUUCAGAAACGAUUUCGAACUAUGAAAGUCAUCGGCGAGGUAAACGCCCAAGACAUCGGCGAUGGAUCCUCCAACAGUUGACUAGCCGAAGAGAUGGAACUAUCGUUGUGAGUCGUAGCUUUCUCGGCCACGGUUUCGUCUCGUUCCACGAUCGUCUCACUUUGUAGAUAGAAUCUACGCAAGAUGAGGAGAUUUCAGUUCACGCGGUAUAGAAUAUAAUCACCGUUUAAGAGGAUGCUGCAGGAUUGACCAUAAAUUUAAUCUCAACUAGGUUACUGGCAAGAGUUCAGUGAUGGCAAUAGAAUAACCACAUGAUCAAGAAAGGCUGAUCGAAGAACGAGUGUAUGGGAAAACAGGUCGUAGGGAAGCGUCGUUAUCGAGUGAGAUUAAA